UGCGGGGUAGAGCAGUUUGGUAGCUCGCAAGGCUCAUAACCUUGAGGUCACGGGUUCAAAUCCUGUCUCCGCUAC
rnacentral:tRNA from 1 species